GACGAACGCUGGCGGCGUGCUUAACACAUGCAAGUCGAACGAUGAAGCCGGAGCUUGCUCUGGUGAAUUAGUGGCGAACGGGUGAGUAACACGUGAGUAACCUGCCCUUGACUCUGGGAUAACUGCGGGAAACUGUAGCUAAUACCGGAUACGACCCUCGGAGGCAUCUCCUGGGGGUGGAAAGAAUUUCGGUCAAGGAUGGACUCGCGGCCUAUCAGCUAGUUGGUGAGGUAAAGGCUCACCAAGGCGACGACGGAUAGCCGGCCUGAGAGGGUGACCGGCCACACUGGGACUGAGACAGGGCCCAGACUCCUACGGGAGGCAGCAGUGGGGAAUAUUGCACAAUGGGCGCAAGCCUGAUGCAGCAACGCCGCGUGAGGGAUGACGGCCUUCGGGUUGUAAACCUCUUUUAGCAGGGAAGAAGCGAAAGUGACGGUACCUGCAGAAAAAGCACCGGCUAACUACGUGCCAGCAGCCGCCGUAA
rnacentral:rRNA from 1 species